GUGAUUUGCACCUCUGCCAGAUGAUCUUACUUUUUCAGACAGAAUCCUUGCUAACAGACAAACAAACAAGAGCUAGACAGGGCUCAACUUGAAGCAGGGAAAUGCACUUCUACUCUGGGGGUUUAUUCUCAACAUGGAUAUUUUGAUUUGACAUAGAAAGGACAAAAAUAUUUUAACUAUGUAGGCAGAAUGCAAAAUGUUGGUAGCAUUUGUGGAUUGCUGUGGCUGUCAGAUUUAUUACAUCUCCAGAUGGUCUGCUGAGCAUCUAUUCCACCCACUCUCCACAAAGUUUUUUCAUCAUAUUAUGAGGAAUGACUGCAAGAAAGCCCUUUGUGUAGCAGAUUAGAUAAUGGCUGCAAAUAAAGUGGCAAUGUAGGCAUCACUAAGAAAGGGAAAUAUGUCAUCAGCCAGCAGCAGACAAAAGUACAAAACAAAAACACAGUUUGAAAACAGACCUUGUGGUGAUAAUACAAGAACAGAAAGAAAAUUCAGAUUUCUUAUUUCAAAGAAAUAUUUCAUUCACUGAGGAAUAACAAGGUUAGGUGACAUGUAAGAAAAUGAAGUGCGUGAGUAGCAACUUGAAAUUUAACAGAUUUUCAAAAGAAGGAAAAA